GAUCUAAGAUGACAUGCUGGAACAUAAACAGACAGACACUCUGUGAUAUAGCCUGUGGCACAUUAAUUACCCAGCUAUAAAUCGGAUGUGGCUUGAGGUUUGUUCCCCAUGGAACUCCAUAUGCUUUAAGGGCUGAACGUAAUUGUAAAUACAGAAAGAAGGAAGAUAUUAACUUCCAUUGCAAGAGCGCUGUCGCCUCACAGCAAGAAGGGCCUGGGUUCGAUUCCCGGCCGG